AUUUAAGAGGAUCAAACUCAUGAUCCAUCAGCUGAAACGAGUCGGAGCAGCCUCACCUGCUGCCAGACGAUAACGCCUCUACAUGGAUUCCUCACCUGUCUGUGCUUUUAAUGUGAAGGUGAACACAAAGUGCUGCUCGAUGGAUCCUUGAACUGAUGAUCGAACUGGAUUAAACAUUUCCGACGUUCCUCACAGAUGUUCCAAAACUGACCUACUUUCUUUCUAUGAAAACAUUCUCACCAAGGCUGCAGCCAGGUUGUAUUAUCCAUCACUACAGAUGGAGGGGAAGACAGACUGAGAUCAUGAAGUAAACGUCAGGAGGAGAUAUUUGGAUCAUCAGGUGAUCAGAGUGUCAGGAUCCAUCGGGACCAACAAAUAAACUGGAAGAGGAGAAGAAAUAACAAAGUUCUGAUAGAAGAAAAGACCAAAGUGACACGUCUGAACAGGAAGUGAAGGUGUACAUUCUACAGUCGAGGUUUCCAAGUGUAAACUAUAAAAUAAAUGUCUGGCGUCUGUUUCCUCUUCAUCUCCCAACAUGUCAGACGUCACUCGUUCAGUUUUUGUUUCGUUGAGCUGCAGACGACGAGCUGGAUUUUACAGAUUGUGGUUGAAGUUUCUAUGAA